rfam:Felis catus isolate Cinnamon breed Abyssinian chromosome C1, whole genome shotgun sequence.
AGAUGUGAUGGCAAUCUGGUUGUGACAUCUGUCACCCCACUGAUCGCCAGGGUUGAUUUGGUUGAUCUGGAUGGCUAGGCAGAUGUCCCCAUCCUCCCUCACCACUCCACGUGCAGCCUCCUGAAGCUGUCCACUGGGUCGAAGAGGAUGACCUUCCCCAAUAGAGGAGGACUGCUCCUCCGUUGAGGGUAUGUGAGUAGCUGCACUCCCCUGCUUGAAGGUCCAACCAAGCUCUAAAGGUCCAUAGAACGGUAGGACUCCUCAAAAUGAUAUACAGAUUCAACUUGACCCCUACCAAGAU